UAUGCAAUUAUGUUCUGCUUCUGAUAUGUGUGGAUACCUUGAUUCAAACCUCUAUCGUUGUCCAAAAUGUUCUAAUUGAGCAGAUUGUCUACUUUGUGAUUAAAUCACAAGAAUAGUGUCCCUAACGAUUUUCCAAUUCGAUCCGAUCUAUUCGUUCGUAGAACUAUUUACUCGAUCGCAGACAUUUCUGUACAUCAUCACUUGACUGAUUAUUGAUGACAUCAUUACACCUAACUAGUGGAUGUGGUGACUGAUUACACCACUAAUCAACGCUUGAUGACUGAUUAUUGAUGUACAUGUAUUGUUUCCUUUCUUUAUAAUGGAAAUCUUUUUUCUAUAUUAAGAAAGGGGCUAUGUUCAUGGAUUCCUGUGUCAUAUAUCAAUUGAUUUGUAGCUUGUGAAUAGUGAUAAAUGUGUUGUAAGUUCAGGCAGAGGAUGGUGCUGGUCUACUAGUGGAGAUCCUUGAUGAGUCAAACUUUGAAACUUCAACAAACAUAUAUUUUGUUUAUAUUCGCUACGAUUUUCUUUGGACGCUCAACUAUUUCGCAUUGAUAGUUUUGAAUUUUCUUUAGUCCUAUCAAGGCACUGGUCCAACCUAUCUGAGGAGAAAAUUGAUGAACUUAGGGAGUUGUGGAUUACAUAUGUCGGAGAUCAACACGAAGCACAAAUGAUGGAUGAGUUCUAACUUUCCGCCUAAUUUCUUUUACCUUAAUCCACUUUUGGACAUAUAUUAUAUUUUUGGAUUUGGAUUUUGAUAUCAUGUGGAUGUGGCUAUAGGCUUGAUUUGAUCUUGUCUAUGAUUUAGUCUGAUAUUGAUAUGUAUAUAUAGUAGUUAUUUUAGAAGUUUAGAAUUAUGAAUAGUAGUUGAGUUAUUUUGUGAUAUAAAGAAUUUUAGAAGUUUGGAAUAUCAUAUUCAAUUAUUGGAUGUAA